rnacentral:pre_miRNA from 1 species
UAUAAUGUUUUGACUUUUCAUUUUAUUUAAAAAUUUUUUGUAAUUAAUAUUUUUAUUCUUACAUAAAAUAUGAAUAGUACUUUAUGCAUGACUAAUUUUUUUAAGUUUUUCUAUAAAUUUUUCAAAUAAGACGAAUGGUUAAACGUUGGACACGGAAA